rnacentral:misc_RNA from 1 species
GAGGGCCCUCAACUCCAAGAAUCGAGAAUCAGGCUGCGCUAAUGGUCCAACAAGAUUUUCGCUUCUCUUCGAUGAGAGACUUGAGAGUUUUCCUCUCAUUCAGUAUCUUGCCGGCACGUGAGAAAAGUCAAGAAGGCCGCGGACACGCUUUGCGAUUGUUUCGCUAAUCGCCGGCAUUUGUUCGCACGCCAACUUUUUGAUUGAGCGCCUUUGAGACGAGUGUGGCUUUUUAUUUGUUAAUUCUUAUCUGAUGUUUGCGGUUUCUGUUUUUUUGUCGGUGGCCAAAACAUUCAGUGGUGAAACCGCGGGUUGUCGAAUGGCUUUUUGAUGGGAUUUUCUGAAAUGAUGGAAAAGAACGAGUUCGUGCGUACUCCAUUUUCAUCAAUCAACCGUAACAAGGACCCGUUUUAGUGAAUGUGGAAGGUAAAGAAGAGGUGCCCCAGGUGUAAAGGCCACAUCCUGGUGGCGGUCCUCUUUUGCUGGAUGUUGGCCAAUGUGAAGGCCCAAGUGGAGGUUCGCGAUUUUGUUUCAGUUAACACGCUCAGUGAUGGUGAGGUCGAGACCAGGAUCUUUUACAAAGGAGUGGCGGCCAAGGAAACAUCUGUUGGCAAACGAUCAAGCAAACGAUUGUCGUUUCGGCAACUGAGCGACAGCAAACAUAUCAUCGAGCUAAUUUAUGACGAAAACUCUGCUCUAAUCGAUUGCGAGUUUGGUCAUCAGAAAGAGCGAGUGAAAACGUUCCUACGCAGCUUUAGAGACGAUCUGAAAGGAUUAGUGAAUAGUGCCAAUAUUAGCUUACAGCCCUUGGAUGAUGGGAAAUUGCCCCCGGAGUAUGGGUGGCUGAAUUAUACCGAGCUAAGAAAGGAGUGCCAUCAGACGCACUUGAUGACGAAGAAAGAGAUGGAUCAAGUGCAGGACUCAAAAAGAAUCGACCUUUCCGAAAGAUCCAAACGAGAUAUAUCCGACAUCUUUCGUGUUCCAGGAACGAAAUGGUGCGGAAAAGGAUACUCGGCAGACAAAUACACCAGACUCGGAGGGUUUUCGAAAACUGAUAGAUGUUGCAGAAAGCAUGACCUGUCUUGCCCCUUUUGGAUUGGGGGGUUCGAAACGAAGUAUGGACUCUUCAAUUGGAGGAUAAACACUCUAAUGCAUUGCAAUUGCGAUGAAAGGAUAUCCUGGAUCCAAUUCACAGCUCCUUAAAUGUGUACUUCUUGCAAAAGAUCGCCAAUGUCACUAAAUUAAUGGAUUCUGUGUUAAAAUGGGGCAAAGCCGGCUUGGUAAAGCGAAAAGGAAGAUGAAUCGAGUGUGUCCAUUCGAGAGUCUUUAACGGCACCAGUCUAAUUGCAAAAAGACUGUCGUCCUAAGUGGCAGUUAGCCACAUUCCCGUAUCAGCUCAUUAGAAACAAAGAUAAGUUUAAUUGGAAAUUAUGCGCGAAUGAUACUGUUAAUUUGCUUAAUGUUCGCCAAAGUGUUUUGGUAAUUAUACAAGAAUUUCUAAUUGCAGAUACCAAUAUUGAUGAAGUGUGUGGUGACGGUGGUCGUUCGGCUAAGCGCGAUAAGAGAAUAUGAGAAAACGGUGGCUGUUUUUGUCGGAAAUUUCCAUAAACAAAACAAUACCCAUUCGCAUUGAAGGUCUGUUUUCACAGAAUAGAACUAAAAUAUUGCUCCUAAUAAAAACCACAUAUAGUCUUGUUGACACACUAAUUUGAACAACUGAAAUAACACGAGACUACUUUGCAGUACGAAAAUGCAUGUUUGGCUACUCGUUAGGAAAAUAGUUUUGUGGCCAUUUAACUGCUAUUAACGCGUGAUGAUGAAUACGAGUGAGGUAAAGAGCAAGUUAUAUGUUUAAGAACUCUUAGCGCACCAUUAUUUGCCUGUCAGACAAAUAGAUUGAUGAUUAUUCAUUGAGUUUCAAUGAAACUUUCAGAGGUGAUCGGCAUCCUAAGCAAUACAUCUGAAGAUGGUAGUCAUAAGUGCUGGCAAAAAGUCAGCACCAAGUUCCCAUCAACGGUGGUCUAAAAACCCGAAAAUCGUCAUUUUUCCAAUGGUUUCGUCAAUAUUUUAGUUGAAAUGCUGAAUAGAGCUGUGGAGUUUCGGAUUCGAGUCUUCUCGCGUGCCAUAAAAGCUGGUUCAAAAUUGGCGCAAAAAUAUUUUUUCCAAUUUCAUCUGCCUUGAAGUUGAGAUUUUUAAGCCGUGAAGGUGGCAAUUUGGAACGCAGCAGCGCACUGGCGAUCGCGCAUCUCUCAUAGAAGCAAUGUGUGCGAGUGAGCUAACCGAUGCGGGCAACGUUCUCGAGUGCGAAAUCAGUUUCAUUUAAAAUCGAAAAUUUGUUCGUACUCUAGGCGAACUCACCUCUGAAGGUGCUAGUCAGUUAGGAGUGAUAGUGCUACACUAAUUCCGUACACCUUGUAGAAAAAAAACUGUAAUAAUCCAUAGAAAUAAAUAAAAUUUGUGUGCCUUCCCAUGUAGUGGUUACGAAAUACGAAAUUAAUCAUAUUCAAUAAAGCAUUUUAAUGUGUU